rnacentral:rRNA from 1 species
UACGAAGGGGGCUAGCGUUGCUCGGAAUCACUGGGCGUAAAGCGCACGUAGGCGGAUCUUUAAGUCAGGGGUGAAAUCCUGGAGCUCAACUCCAGAACUGCCUUUGAUACUGGGGAUCUCGAGUCCGGGAGAGGUGAGUGGAACUGCGAGUGUAGAGGUGAAAUUCGUAGAUAUUCGCAAGAACACCAGUGGCGAAGGCGGCUCACUGGCCCGGUACUGACGCUGAGGUGCGAAAGCGUGGGGAGCAACAGGAUUAAGAA